GAUUACAAAACAAAUAGGAAAAAGAGAAAAAAAACCAUGGUCAGCUACUCGAUUAACCUUGCCUUUUUCUUCACCCUUCCAUGGCCACUUGGCAAGCAUGCCAUCACACUCCCCCCUUCUUCCUCUACCAAAAAUUCUGUCACCAAUCCCUCUUCUUAGCUUCUUGAAGCCAAAAAUUCAGAAUAUUUGCUUCAAUUAUCUCCCUCCCAACCACUGAUUUUGUAUUCCGAAUUUGACUAUAAAUGGCCAUAAAAUCCAUGACCAAGAACACCAUUAACAACAAUCUUCAUCCUCUCUUCUCUUACUUCACCACCACCUAGGAACGACCUUGCAAACACCAUAAUUUUCAGUCCCCAAUUCGCCAGAACACGUGACUCAAGGAACCCCAAAAAGAAAACCCAUUUUCUCCCCCACUCUCCUCUGUUUCAGAGUUCAAACACCACCACCACCGGCUGCCGCCGGCUCGCAGACGCCAAGACAGUCGCCUGCCACCUCGCGCAUCACUCGCCGGCCACUAGCAUGCUCGCCAGAGCUUCGCCGCGCCAACACCAGCGCAUUCUCUCUCCUUCCUCGCACUCUUCUUCUCACGUCCUCUCCUUCGUCGUGCCUGCUGCACGUGCACCACUGGCGACCCGCACCACACCGUCGGAUACCGUCGUCACUGCUCGCCGCUGCUCGCUGCCGUUCGCUGGAAUUCCUUCGCCUGGAUUUUCUUUCCCUUCCUUGCUCUUAGUAGUAGAGAUUAAAGAAGAUAAAGGAUAUUACAAGCCUCCCCCGGCUAUCAAGGUUGUUAAGAAGAAAUUCAGGUACCGAUGGUGAUAACGGGAUGGCGUAGCAGUGAGGAUUUAUUUAGUAUCUAGAUUUAUGUAGACUCUCAUGGUUUUAAUUUAAGUUAAUGCCAAACUCUGAUUAGUAACUAAGUUUCAAUUAAUCAAGACUAAUGUUGGA